rnacentral:rRNA from 1 species
UACGGAGGAUGCAAGCGUUAUCCGGAUUCAUUGGGUUUAAAGGGUGUGCAGGCGGAGAGAUAAGUCAGUGGUGAAAAACUGCCGCUCAACGGUAGUCUUGCCAUUGAUACUGUCUUUCUUGAGUAUGGUUAAGGUAGGCGGAAUGUGCAGUGUAGCGGUGAAAUGCAUAGAGAUUGCACAGAACUCCGAUUGCGAAGGCAGCUUACUGAGCCAUAACUGACGCUGAGGCACGAAAGCGUGGGGAGCGAA